rnacentral:rRNA from 1 species
UGCGUAGGGGGCUAGCGUUGUCCGGAAUCAUUGGGCGUAAAGAGCGUGUAGGCGGCUCGAUAAGUCCGCUGUGAAAGUCCAGGGCUCAACCCUGGGAUGCCGGUGGAUACUGUCGGGCUCGAGUCCGGAAGAGGCGAGUGGAAUUCCUGGUGUAGCGGUGAAAUGCGCAGAUAUCAGGAGGAACACCAAUGGCGAAGGCAGCUCGCUGGGACGUGACUGACGCUGAGACGCGAAAGCGUGGGGAGCAAACAGG